CGAAGCGGCGCGCCAGUCUCUCGCGGCCAUCGCUCCGACCGCACGUCGCGGCGCAAAUCAAACCGCUAUAUCGACACGUGCAUCGCGCAACCCUAUUUUGUUGUUCUAAUUUUUAAAAGUGCAGUGGACUUGUUAUUGCCGGAAUACACUAACAUUCACUAUAUCCAAUAACUAAAACUAGUGCAGUGAAAAGCAUAACGACGUAAAGUGUAUUAUGUGCGGUGAGCGCGCGGCCGCCGCGGACCGAAGGUGACAUUUGUGCCGUGACAUACAUGCGGGCGCGAUGAUCGUAUGGCGCAAGAAUACUAGCCGACGGAAACACGCCGCCUGGUCAAACAUGGCAUCAGACAUCGCAUCACAUAUACCAAGGACGACGUUCGUAUGGAUAAUCUUAGCAAUAGCAAAUGUAAG